GAUGAACGCUGGCGGCGUGCCUAAUACAUGCAAGUCGAGCGAAUGGAUUAAGAGCUUGCUCUUAUGAAGUUAGCGGCGGACGGGUGAGUAACACGUGGGUAACCUGCCCAUAAGACUGGGAUAACUCCGGGAAACCGGGGCUAAUACCGGAUAACAUUUUGAACCGCAUGGUUCGAAAUUGAAAGGCGGCUUCGGCUGUCACUUAUGGAUGGACCCGCGUCGCAUUAGCUAGUUGGUGAGGUAACGGCUCACCAAGGCAACGAUGCGUAGCCGACCGGAGAGGGUGAUCGGCCACACUGGGACGGAGAAACGGCCCAGACUCCUACGGGAGGCAGCAGUAGGGAAUCUUCCGCAAUAGACGAAAGUCUGACGGAGCAACGCCGCGUGAGUGAUGAAGGCUUUCGGGUCGUAAAACUCUGUUGUUAGGGAAGAACAAGUGCUAGUUGAAUAAGCUGGCACCUUGACGGUACCUAACCAGAAAGCCACGGCUAACUACGUGCCAGCCGCCGCCGUAA
rnacentral:rRNA from 1 species